rnacentral:lncRNA from 1 species
GACUUGCUUGUGCUUGUUAUUUAUCUAACAACAUGACAUCAUAACAACAUAACAUCAUAACAUCAUGGCAUUGUACUAACCAUUUCAAGGAUUUAGGGAUUUAACUCUGCUAAAAAAAAAAAAAAAAAAACAAAAACAAAAGCAAAAACAAAAGAGAAAAGAAAAAAAAAAGCUCUUUUUGUUAGUUUAUGCAAAGUUAAAUCCCGAAAGUCCUUGAAAACAUUUCAUACAUUGCAUUGCAUCGCAUAACAGGUAUUCUAAAGGAUCAGUGUUCUCACGAUUUUCCUAUCAAACAGAUUCCAGCAGAUUCAAACAGAUUGAACAAUGGCUCUCGAACAAACUGUCAAAGAUCUCCAGGCCCAGAAUGCUCAAUUCCAGGAAAUGAUGCUGAGCUUAUCUAAGGGGCAGGAAGAACUGAAAGCUCUUUUGAUGGAGAAGAAGAAGGACCAGAAACCUGUGGGUUACAUCAACCCGGGGAGAAGGCUUAAGGGAC